GACGAACGCUGGCGGCGUGCUUAACACAUGCAAGUCGAACGGAAAGGCCCUGCUUUUGUGGGGUGCUCGAGUGGCGAACGGGUGAGUAACACGUGAGUAACCUGCCCUUGACUUUGGGAUAACUUCAGGAAACUGGGGCUAAUACCGGAUAGGAGCUCCUGCUGCAUGGUGGGGGUUGGAAAGUUUCGGCGGUUGGGGAUGGACUCGCGGCUUAUCAGCUUGUUGGUGGGGUAGUGGCUUACCAAGGCUUUGAUGGGUAGCCGGCCUGAGAGGGUGACCGGCCACAUUGGGACUGAGAUACGGCCCAGACUCCUACGGGAGGCAGCAGUGGGGAAUAUUGCACAAUGGGCGGAGGCCUGAUGCAGCAACGCCGCGUGCGGGAUGACGGCCUUCGGGUUGUAAACCGCUUUCGCCUGUGACGAAGCGUGAGUGACGGUAAUGGGUAAAGAAGCACCGGCUAACUACGUG
rnacentral:rRNA from 1 species